CUCAUAGCGUAUAUUAAGUUGUUGCAGUUAAAACGCUCGUAGUCGGAUUUCGGGGCGGGCUGCUCGGUCUGCCGAUGGGUAUGCACUGGGUGGCGCGUCCUUCCUUCCGGAGACCGCGCCUUCUCUUAACUGAGCGGGCGCGGGAGACGGAACGUUUACUUUGAAAAAAUCAGAGUGUUUCAAGCAGGCAUCUCGCUCUUGCAUGGAUUAGCAUGGGAUAAUGAAAUAGGACUUUGGUGCUAUUUUGUUGGUUUCGAACACCGAAGUAAUGAUUAACAGGGACAGUCAGGGGCACUCGUAUUCCGUCGAGAGAGGUGAAAUUCUCAGACCAACGGAAGACGAACCACUGCGAAAGCAUUUGCCAGGGAUGUUUUCACUGAUCAAGAACGAAAGUUAGGGGAUCGAAGACGAUCAGAUACCGUCGUAGUCUUAACCAUAAACCAUGCCGACUAGGGAUUCGAGGGUGUUCCAUCUGUGACCCCUUGAGCACCUUUCGGGAAACUAAAGUCUUUGGGUUCCGGGGGGAGUAUGGUCGCAAGGCUGAAACUUAAAGGAAUUGACGGAAGGGCACCACCAGGAGUGGAGCCUGCGGCUUAAUUUGACUCAACACGGGGAAACUUACCAGGUCCAGACAUUGUGAGGAUUGACAGAUUGAGAGCUCUUUCUUGAUUCAAUGGGUGGUGGUGCAUGGCCGUUCUUAGUUGGUGGAGUGAUUUGUCUGG
rnacentral:rRNA from 1 species